rnacentral:rRNA from 1 species
UGUGAAAGCGUCGGGCCUAACACGGAAAGCGCAGAGGGGACUGCCAGGCGAGAGGACGGGAGAGGAGCGCGGAAUUCCCGGUGUAGCGGUGAAAUGCGUAGAGAUCGGGAGGAAGGCCGGUGGCGAAGGCGGCGCUCUGGAACGUAUCUGACGCUGAGACACGAAAGCGUGGGGAGCAAACAG